rnacentral:rRNA from 1 species
UACGAAGGGGGCUAGCGUUGCUCGGAAUCAUUGGGCGUAAAGCGGGUGUAGGCGGACUUAUAAGUCAGGUGUGAAAUCCCAGGGCUCAACCCUGGAAGUGCAUUUGAUACUGUAAGUCUUGAAUGUGGUAGAGGUUACUGGAAUUGCUGGUGUAGUGGUGAAAUACGUAGAUAUCAGCAGGAACACCGGAGGCGAAGGCGGGUAACUGGGCCAACAUUGACGCUGAGACCCGAAAGCGUGGGGAUCAAACAGG